UUCAGGUUGAUCCUGCCGGACCUGACUGCUAUCGGAUUGGUACUAAGCCAUGCGAGUCGUUGUACAAUACAAGGCGGACUGCUCAGUAACACGUAGUUAACUUAACCUAUGGAUGGGAAUAACCUCGGGAAACUGAGAAUAAUACCCAAUGGGCCAUAGUGCCUGGAAUGGCCUGUGGUUGAAAUGAUUUAUCGCCGUAGGAUAGGACUGCGGCCUAUCAGCUUGUUGGUGAGGUAAUGGCCCACCAAGGCUAUAACAGGUACGGGCUCUGAGAGGAGGGGCCCGGAGAUGGGUACUGAGACACGGACCCAGGCCCUAUGGGGCGCAGCAGGCGAGAAACCUUUGCAAUGUGCGAAAGCACGACAAGGUUAAUCCGAGUGUCUCCUGCUAAAGGAGUCUUUUGUCAGUUGUAGAAUCACUGGUGAAUAAGGGGUGGGCAAGUUCUGGUGUCAGCCGCCGCGGUAAAACCAGCACCUCGAGUGGUCAGGAGGUUUAUUGGGCCUAAAGCAUCCGUAGCCGGUUGCAUAAGUUUUCGGUUAAAUCUAUGCGCUUAACGUAUAGGCCGCCGAAAAUACUGUGCAGCUAGGGAGUAGGAGAGGUCACGGUACUCGAUAGGCACGGGUAAAUCCUUUGAUCUA
rnacentral:rRNA from 1 species